UCAGGGGUGACAGGGACACGCAGGUGCCACCACAGGGGUGACAGGGACACGCAGGUGUCACCACAGGGCUGACGGGGACACGCAGGUGUCACCACGGACACGCAGGUGUCACCACAGGGGUGACGGGGACACUCAGGUGCCACCCCAGACGUGACAGGGACACUCAGGUGCCACCACGGACACGCAGGUGUCACCACAGGGGUGACAGGGACACUCAGGUGCCACCCCAGACGUGACAGGGACACGCAGGUGUCACCAAACAGGUGUCACUGUGGUCACACAGGUGUCACCAUGGACACUCAGGUGUCACCACGGACAUGCAGGUGCCACCCCAGAGGUGACAGGGACACUCAGUGUCCCCAGAGUGUCCCCAAGUGACCCCAGAGUGUCCCCAAAGUGUCCCCAGAGUGUCCCCAGUGUCCCCAGUGUCCCCAAAGUGUCCCCAAAGUGUCCCAAAAGUGUCCCAAAAGUGUCCCCAAAGUGUCCCCAGAAUGUCCCCAGUGUCCCCAAAGUGUCCCCAAGUGUCCCCAGGUGUGUCCCCAGAAUGUCCCCAGUGUCCCCAAAGUGUCCCCAGGUGUCCCCAGCCCAUCAGAACCACAGCAGCCGCUCCCUUCCAAAUUCUUUUAUUUCCGUUCUUUAAAAAAACCCCAAAACAGUAAAAAAAUAAAACCAAAACCGUAAAAAAACCCCAAAACUCCCGGAGGGGGAGGGGAUUCAGGAGCCUGGGGGGGUCCCCUGGGAAUUGGGGGUGAUCCUGGGGGGUGUCCCCUCAAUCCUGGGGGGUCCCCUGGGAAUUUGGGGUGCUCCUGGGGCGUCUCCCCUCAAUCCAGGGGAACUGGGGGUGCUCCUGGGGGUCUCCCCUGGGAAUUGGGGGCAAUCCUGGGGGUCUCCCCUGGGAAUUUGGGGUGGAUUCUGGGGGGUUUCCCCUGGGAAUUUGGGGCGGUUCUGGGGGGUCUCCCCUCAAUCCAGGGGGGUCCCCUGGGAAUUUGGGGUGGAUUCUGGGGGGUCUCCCCUGGGAAUUUGGGGUGCUCCUGGGGGUCUGCCCUGGGAAUUUGGGGCAGUUCUGGGGGUCUCCCCUCAAUCCAGGGGGUCCCCUGGGAAUUUGGGGUGGUCCUGGGGGUCUCCCCUGGGAAUUUGGGGUGCUCCUGGGGGUCUCCCCUCAGUCCAGGGGGAUCCCCACAGACCCCAGAGCCUCCCGAGCCCAGGCCGGGGGUCCCCCGCGCCCCCCGUACAUGGUGGCCAUGAACUCCCGCACGAACUCCGGGAAGCGCCGCUGGACGAUGCUCUCCCGGAUGGAACCCAUCAGCUUCAUCUGAGGAGGGGUCCCGAGGCUCAGGGGGGGCUCUGAGACC
rnacentral:lncRNA from 1 species